UAUUCUUUUGUUCUGCAUGUUAGAGGGUGUAAAAGCCAUCAGUGAAAAAGGUGACAGCAACCCUGCUUCGUCUCUUCUCAUCCCCUGUGAUGGUUCUUUUUUUUUAUUUUUUCUUCUUAUCUUGUUUUAGGCACGAACUUGCCCGCAGGUGUUUCCAAGAAGCAAUAUCGUUGUCCUAUCGUUCAUCUGGAUGUGAUCGCGAGUGCUUUGUUUAACAUUCUCCACAAUUCUCCAUGGUGGCAGACAGUGGCAGAGUGGAGGAACUUUCAAAAAGAUGAAGGAGAAAAAUGGGAAAGCGAGUAAAGAAAUGGAAAAAUAGAGGAAUUGAUGAAUGAGAAACUGGUAACUCUAUCUGUUUGCUGACGGUGAAACCUUCUUGAAACGCAGAUGAAAGAACUUACGGCGGCCGAAAGACUUCUGGUUACAAUAACUGGAUCAUUUCUCGAAGAUGGUUUGACUCCUCCAACGUUUUGCAUUAAAUAUAAUGCACAUUCAAGAAUAUUCUCGUCAAAUUGAGCAUAUUUC